GGGCGGGUAGCUCAGCGGCUAGAGCGUUCGCCUUACACGCGAAAUGUCCCGGGUUCGAAUCCCGGCCUGCCCA
rnacentral:tRNA from 1 species